CACACACUCACUCACGCUGCAUCCCUCCCUUUCUAUUGCACUUAAGUCCAGAUUCUCUCUGACCAUUGCUGCUCACGAGCAGAGAGCGACGCAGCAUCACGGUGCCUAAGGACCAUAGAAAUUGCCACAGAGGUGGGGGCAAAGACCGUCUUCAAGGUUGUUGUCAUCCGGAAUUUUAUGUCCUUCAUUUUCUUCCACUCUGUAUGCCUGUCACAUCGGCUUAACUACAAGAGAAGACUCUGCUUGCCUUAAAGACUGACUGGUGUCUUCCAGCCUUAGUAGCUGAUGUAAAGAGAGACAAUGCUUCUUCUUACAAUCCUGGACUUACCCUGCAAGUCAUCUUGGAGAUUAGGAAGCCU